AGGAGAAUAGUUAAUUAUAACAUUUAAAUUGCAAUUAAAAGGUACAAAGUUGUUUCUCUUA
rnacentral:tRNA from 1 species